UUUAAAUCCUUACUUUCUUGGAGUGUUUUUUAAUCAAAGCAAUUAUUUAUUUUCUUCUUUUGGUGUGUGUGCAGGACUCUUGGGACUCGUGCCUUUUGGAAUGCAGCGAUUUCUCUGGUUGUAUGGACUGUGACUCACCAUGUGCAAACUCUACAGACUACACGCCAACAAUGACCUCAAACUUGACCCAUCCAGAUCACAUGACCCUGCAAUGGUCAGCCGGAAGUGAAAACAUCAGUACAGUAUACAUUCUUGAACAAGAGUCGACAGAUCAAGGCUGGCAUCUUCUUAACAUGGUAUUAAUGCAUGUCUUCAUUUCUAAUAAUGUAUUAGAUUUAUUUAAAUCAUAUCUACAUUGAUAUAAGACAGGCAUACUUAGUAUAAAGCCAGGUUUUUGUU